ACAAGAGUUUKGAAUCMYGGCUCAGRACGAMCGCUGGCGGCGUGCCUAAUACAUGCAAGUCGUACGCUUCUUUUUCCACCGGAGCUUGCUCCACCGGAAAAAGAAGAGUGGCGAACGGGUGAGUAACACGUGGGYAACCUGCCCAUCAGAAGGGGAUAACACUUGGAAACAGGUGCUAAUACCGUAUAACAAUCGAAACCGCAUGGUUUUGAUUUGAAAGGCGCUUUCGGGUGUCGCUGAUGGAUGGACCCGCGGUGCAUUAGCUAGUUGGUGAGGUAACGGCUCACCAAGGCCACGAUGCAUAGCCGACCUGAGAGGGUGAUCGGCCACAUUGGGACUGAGACACGGCCCAAACUCCUACGGGAGGCAGCAGUAGGGAAUCUUCGGCAAUGGACGAAAGUCUGACCGAGCAACGCCGCGUGAGUGAAGAAGGUUUUCGGAUCGUAAAACUCUGUUGUUAGAGAAGAACAAGGAUGAGAGUAACUGUUCAUCCCUUGACGGUAUCUAACCAGAAAGCCACGGCUAACUACGUGCCAGCAGCCGCGGUAAUACGUAGGUGGCAAGCGUUGUCCGGAUUUAUUGGGCGUAAAGCGAGCGCAGGCGGUUUCUUAAGUCUGAUGUGAAAGCCCCCGGCUCAACCGGGGAGGGUCAUUGGAAACUGGGAGACUUGAGUGCAGAAGAGGAGAGUGGAAUUCCAUGUGUAGCGGUGAAAUGCGUAGAUAUAUGGAGGAACACCAGUGGCGAAGGCGGCUCUCUGGUCUGUAACUGACGCUGAGGCUCGAAAGCGUGGGGAGCAAACAGGAUUAGAUACCCUGGUAGUCCACGCCGUAAACGAUGAGUGCUAAGUGUUGGAGGGUUUCCGCCCUUCAGUGCUGCAGCUAACGCAUUAAGCACUCCCGGCCYKA
rnacentral:rRNA from 1 species